ACGUUGCUAUGGCAAUAACUUUUUAAUUAAUGAUUUCAACAAUAUUUACAUAGCCAAAUUUUUUCGGUGUUCGAAAUGUUUGUUGAAUUUGGAGCAUAGUUUUAAAGUUGAAUUUAAUUUCUUAAAAGCAAUAAAAUAUUUAUUCAUUACAUUUUAGUUUUGUUUACAUAUUCAGAAAAAUAAAAAUUUUCCAAGACUAAUCAGGUUUAAUAAGUUUUUUACAAUAUUAUUUAACAGAAAUAUUUUUUCGUUGAUUUUAAUCAGUAUUUUAUUAAAUUAUACGGAAUUUCUUGCAUAAAUUAAACAAAACAAUAUGUACUUUGAGUUUGCAUAGUUAACAAACGAAAAUAAAAAUCAUUAUUUAUAAGUAUUGGAAAUUUCCACUCAUGCGUAAAUAGUCGAGCCUUGCAAAUAUUCGAUGAUAAUCACUAAUCAAUAAUCGAAAUAAAUUCUGAAUACGAAAAAAAAUUACACGCUCAGAGAUUGUUUAAAAACUGGUGAUAAGAUCAUUAUUCACACAAUUGGAUAAAACUAUACAAAUACGUUUAUCGAUUACUGAAACUAACACAAUAAAGAGCAGACCACGAGCUCAAAAACGCUUUCAAAUACUAUAGUGAGGCGUAGUGGUUGGUGCGAUCAUUUUGUUUUUCAACUCACUUACACUCGAACUGUCUUGCUUAAAUAUAAUAUGUGCCAAUAUAAUAAUGUCAAUAUUUACCCAAGACUCAAAACGCCUUUACAAAGAACACUUCAGCUGAGAACAGCGAUUUCCACAUUUUUGGAGGAACAGAAAUAAUUAAAAUAUGUAUGUCGUAUUAUUAAUUUUAUUUCUGACAGCGUUUUGAAUUUUUUUUUUCUUUUUACAGCCCGGUCAAUUAUGCGCGUGAACGAAAAGCGGAGCACAGUAAAUAAUUAUUAGUGGCCAUUAUCACUGCGACCCGUGAUUAUAUUUUUGAUUUUUCACCAACGUAAACAUAUACAAGUAGAAGUAACCAAGGAAUUUUCAAAAACAUGUACACUGGAGUGCUUACCUCUAAGCUCUGCAGUACAAUACUGUAUGGUUGUGUAUCGAUUCAAUAAUGCUUGUACGGUAGCUAUGCGGGCCAUUGGUACUAAGAUACAAAUUUCAAUAGUCUUAUACUUAAUAAGUGUCAAAGAAUCGAUAUAUACAAUUAUUAAUUUACACGCAGUAAUUUUUCAUAUGAAAAUUCAGUCAGGCGAACACCGCGGUUCAAAAGUUUUUGAGUGGAUGCAUCCAAAUCAGAACCAAAUUGAGCAAAUGCUGCUAUCUCGCGGUACUGGGC